rnacentral:lncRNA from 1 species
AGGAGGGGAGGUUGUUGGUGUCUCUGUGGUUGUGAGGUUUAUUGUCAGAGGAGGGGAGGGUGUUGGUUCCUCUGUGGUUGUGAGGUUUAUUGUCAGAGGAGGGGAGGGUGUUGGUUGGUAUUCUAUAUUAGACCUACUACUACUUGGAUAGAUAGGAGAUGGAGGUUGGUAUCCUAUAUUAGACCUACUACUACUUGGAUAGAUAGGAGAUGGAGGUUGGUAUCCUAUAUUAGACCUACUACUACUUGGAUAGAUAGGAGAUGGAGGUUGGUAUCCUAUAUUAGACCUACUACUACUUGGAUAGAUAGGAGAUGGAGGUUGGUAUCCUAUAUUAGACCUACUACUACUUGGAUAGAUAGGAGAUGGAGGUUGGUAUCCUAUAUUAGACCUACUACUACUUGGAUAGAUAGGUGGAGGUUGGUGUUCUAUAUUAGACCUACUACUACUUGGAUAGAUAGGAGAUGGAGGUUGGUAUCCUAUAUUAGACCUAGUACUACUUGGAUAGAUAGGUGGAGGUUGGUAUCCUAUAUUAGACCUACUACUACUUGGAUAGAUAGGAGAUGGAGGUUGGUAUCCUAUAUUAGACCUACUACUACUUGGAUAGAUAGGAGGUGGAGGUUGGUGUUCUAUAUUAGACCUACUACUACUUGGAUAGAUAGGAGAUGGAGGUUGGUAUCCUAUAUUAGACCUACUACUACUUGGAUAGAUAGGAGGUGGAGGUUGGUGUUCUAUAUUAGACCUACUACUACUUGGAUAGAUAGGAGAUGGAGGUUGGUAUCCUAUAUUAGACCUACUACUACUUGGAUAGAUAGGAGAUGGAGGUUGGUGUUCUAUAUUAGACCUACUACUACUUGGAUAGAUAGGAGGUGGAGGUUGGUAUCCUAUAUUAGACCUACUACUACUUGGAUAGAUAGGAGAUGGAGGUUGGUAUCCUAUAUUAGACCUACUACUACUUGGAUAGAUAGGUGGAGGUUGGUGUUCUAUAUUAGACCUACUACUACUUGGAUAUAUAGGAGAUGGAGGUUGGUAUCCUAUAUUAGACCUACUACUACUUGGAUAGAUAGGUGGAGGUUGGUGUUCUAUAUUAGACCUACUACUACUUGGAUAGAUAGGAGGUGGAGGUUGGUGUUCUAUAUUAGACCUACUACUACUUGGAUAGAUAGGAGGUGGAGGUUGGUGUUCUAUAUUAGACCUACUACUACUUGGAUAGAUAGGAGAUGGAGGUUGGUAUCCUAUAUUAGACCUACUACUACUUGGAUAGAUAGGAGAUGGAGGUUGGUGUUCUAUAUUAGACCUACUACUACUUGGAUAGAUAGGAGGUGGAGGUUGGUAUCCAAUAUUAGACCUACUACUACUUGGAUAGAUAGGAGAUGGAGGUUGGUAUCCUAUAUUAGACCUACUACUACUUGGAUAGAUAGGUGGAGGUUGGUGUUCUAUAUUAGACCUACUACUACUUGGAUAUAUAGGAGAUGGAGGUUGGUAUCCUAUAUUAGACCUACUACUACUUGGAUAGAUAGGAGAUGGAGGUUGGUAUCCUAUAUUAGACCUACUACUACUUGGAUAGAUAGGUGGAGGUUGGUGUUCUAUAUUAGACCUACUACUACUUGGAUAGAUAGGUGGAGGUUGGUGUUCUAUAUUAGACCUACUACUACUUGGAUAGAUAGGAGAUGGAGGUUGGUAUCCUAUAUUAGACCUACUACUACUUGGAUAGAUAGGAGGUGGAGGUUGGUAUCCUAUAUUAGACCUACUACUACUUGGAUAGAUAGGAGGUGGAGGUUGGUAUCCUAUAUUAGACCUACUACUACUUGGAUAGAUAGGAGAUGGAGGUUGGUAUCCUAUAUUAGACCUACUACUACUUGGAUAGAUAGGUGGAGGUUGGUGUUCUAUAUUAGACCUACUACUACUUGGAUAUAUAGGAGAUGGAGGUUGGUAUCCUAUAUUAGACCUACUACUACUUGGAUAGAUAGGAGAUGGAGGUUGGUAUCCUAUAUUAGACCUAUUACUACUUGGAUAGAUAGGUGGAGGUUGGUGUUCUAUAUUAGACCUACUACUACUUGGAUAGAUAGGAGAUGGAGGUUGGUAUCCUAUAUUAGACCUACUACUACUUGGAUAGAUAGGAGAUGGAGGUUGGUGUUCUAUAUUAGACCUACUACUACUUGGAUAGAUAGGAUAUGGAGGUUGGUGUUCUAUAUUAGACCUACUACUACUUGGAUAGAUAGGAGAUGGAGGUUGGUGUUCUAUAUUAGAACUACUACUACUUGGAUAGAUAGGAGAUGGAGGUUCCUAGGCCGUCAGGAUCCCAAACCAUCAGACUGCUGAACAGCUUCUACCCCAAACCAUCAGACUGCUGAACAGCUUCUACUCCCAAGCCAUCAGACUGCUGAACAGCUUCUGCCCCCAAGCCAUCAGACUCCUGAACAGCUUCUAUCCCCAAGCCAUCAGACUCCUGAACAGCUUCUAUCCCCAAGCCAUCAGACUCCUGAACAGCUUCUAUCCCCAAGCCAUCAGACUCCUGAACAGCUUCUGCCCCCAAGCCAUCAGACUCCUGAACAGCUUCUAUCCCCAAGCCAUCAGACUCCUGAACAGCUUCUAUCCCCAAGCCAUCAGACUCCUGAACAGCUUCUAUCCCCAAGCCAUCAGACUCCUGAACAGCUUCUAUCCCCAAGCCGUCAGACUCCUGAACAGCUUCUAUCCCAAGCCAUCAGACUCCUGAACAGCUUCUAUCCCCAAGCCAUCAGACUGCUGAACAGCUUCUGCCCCCCCUAAGCCAUCAGACUCCUGAACAGUUCAUCAAAAGGCUUCAAAAUGGACUCUACCCACACACACACUACACUGACUCUCUUGCACUGGCUCUAUGUACACUCACUGGACUCUACCCACACACUCACACACACUACACUGACUCUCCAACACACACACACACUCUACACACAAUGACACACACAUGCAUAUUGACACCACACACUCACACACUACACUGACACUCCAACACACACACACACACUCUACACACAAUGACACACACAUUCAUAUUGACACCACACACUCACACAUAGACACUCCAACACACACACACACACUCUACACACAAUGACACACACAUUCAUAUUGACACCACACACUCACACACUCACACAUAGACACUCCAAAACAUACACACUCUGCACACAAUGACACACACAUUCAUAUUGACACCACACACUCACACACACUACACUGACACUCCAACACACACACACACUCUACACACAAUGACACACACAUUCAUAUUGACACCACACACUCCAACACACUACACUGACACUCCAACACACACACACACUCUACACACAAUGACACACACAUUCAUAUUGACACCACACACUCCAACACACUACACUGACACUCCAACACACACACACACUCUACACACAAUGACACACACAUUCAUAUUGACACCACACACUCACACACACUACACUGACACUCCAACACACACAGAGACACUUACACACUAUUCACAUACAUUGGUGCUCCUCUGUUUAUCAUACACUGAGUGUCCAAAACAUUAAGAACACCUGCUCUUUCCAUGACAUAGACUGACCAGGUGAAUCCAGGUGAAAUCUAUGAUCUCUUAUUGAUGUGACUUGUUAAAUCCACUUCAAUCAGUGUAGAUGAAAGGGAGUAGACAGGUUAAAGAAGGAUUUUUAAGCCUUGAAACAAUUGAGACAUGGAUUGUGUAUGUGCUCCAUUCCGAGGAUGAAUGUACAAGAUAAAAUAUUUAAGUGCCUUUUGAACGGGGUUAUGGUAGUAGGUGCCAGGCGCAGCGCUUUGUGUCAAGAACUGCAACGUUGCUGGGUUUGUUCGUGCUCAACAGUUUCCUGCGUGUAUCCAGAAUGCUCCACCAUCCAAAGGACAUCCAGCCAAAGACAUCUGCUUUAUCUCAUUAACGUAUUGCACACGCUGACUGCGUAUAUUUACUUAAAAAGUAGCUACAAAUAUUCAAAUGUAUCGGAAAAACUUCAAAGAAAUAGUUUCAACGGUAUUUAUAAUUUUGAAAAACCAUCCCGUGGUUAUUUCCCAGAUUCCCCGGGAUUCAGUACAGUGUAUACGGUAUACCGCCCAAGCCGUUCAGCCUGGAACUUCAUAAGCACUUGGUCUAGAUAGCACAUCACAAUACAUUUUCGACUAGGGCUUGAAGCCCAAUAAUCUCAGCCCAACUUUCUCUGAUGGGUAUGCUCUAUUGGCUCCCCUCAACCCAACUUUCUCUGGUGGGUAUGCUCUAUUGGCUCCCCUCAACCCAACUUUCUCUGGUGGGUAUGCUCUAUUGGUUCCCAUCAACCCAGCUUUCUCUGGCGAGUGCUUCUAUUGGCUCCCUCAACUCAACUUUCUCUGGCGAGUGCUUCUAUUGGCUCCCUCAACCCAACUUUCUCUGGUGGGUAUGCUCUAUUGGCUCCCCUCAACCCAACUUUCUCUGGUGGGUAUGCUCUAUUGGCUCCCCUCAACCCAACUUUCUCUGGUGGGUAUGCUCUAUUGGCUCCCCUCAACCCAACUUUCUCUGAUGGGUAUGCUCUAUUGGCUCUCCUCAACCCAACUUUCUCUGGUGGGUAUGCUCUAUUGGCUCUCCUCAACCCAACUUUCUCUGGUGGGUAUGCUCUAUUGGCUCCUCAACCCAACUUUCUCUGGUGGGUAUGCUCUAUUGGCUCCUCAACCCAGAUGUCUCUGGUGGGUAUGCUCUAUUGGCUCCUCAACCCAGAUGUCUCUGGUGGGUAUGCUCUAUUGGCUCCCCUCAACCCAACUUUCUCUGGUGGGUAUGCUCUAUUGGCUCCCCUCAACCCAGCUUUCUCUGGCGAGUGCUUCUAUUGGCUCCCUCAACCCAACUUUCUCUGGUGGGUAUGCUCUAUUGGCUCCCCUCGACCCAGAUUUCUCUGGCGAGUGCUUCUAUUGGCUCCCUCAACCCAACUUUCUCUGGUGGGUAUGCUCUAUUGGCUCCCCUCAACCCAGCUUUCUCUGGCGAGUGCUUCUAUUGGCUCCCUCAACCCAACUUUCUCUGGUGGGUAUGCUCUAUUGGCUCCCCUCGACCCAGAUUUCUCUGGCGAGUGCUUCUAUUGGCUCCCUCAACCCAACUUUCUCUGGUGGGUAUGCUCUAUUGGCUCUCCUCAACCUACAUAGCACAUAACAAUACAUUUUCGACUAGGGCUUGAAGCCCAAUAAUCUCAGCCCAGGAACUUCUGCAUGGAACAUAAGCACUUGGCCUAGACUAGAGAUAUUGGAUAAACCCUGUUAUUAUGGCCUAGGAGAACACAAUGGAAAUGGACUCUAGGAACUCUGGAACCAACAAGCACCAGGUUUAGCCCACAGUAGAAAGGGAGCUAGUGAUUGUUUACUCCUACACAUGCUGUAUCUUAAUUUGAUCAUCCUGUUGUUGCAGGAAUUUCCCAGCACACCAGUAAAUGCAAACGUGUAGUGUAUUUAAAGU